rnacentral:rRNA from 1 species
GACGAACGCUGGCGGCGUGCUUAACACAUGCAAGUCCAACGGAAAGGCCCUGCUUGCAGGGUGCUCGAGUGGCGAACGGGUGAGUAACACGUGGGUGAUCUGCCCCUUACUUUGGGAUAAGCCUGGGAAACUGGGUCUAAUACUGGAUAGGACCAUGCUGUAGGUGGUGUGGUGGAAAGAUUAGUUUCGGUAAGGGAUGAGCUCGCGGCCUAUCAGCUUGUUGGUGGGGUAAUGGCCUACCAAGGCGUCGACGGGUAGCCGGCCUGAGAGGGUGGACGGCCACAUUGGGACUGAGAUACGGCCCAGACUCCUACGGGAGGCAGCAGUGGGGAAUAUUGCACAAUGGGCGCAAGCCUGAUGCAGCGACGCCGCGUGGGGGAUGACGGCCUUCGGGUUGUAAACUCCUUUCAGCCAUGACGAAGCCCUUGUGGUGACGGUAGUGGUAGAAGAAGCACCGGCUAACUACGUG